AGAUGAGAGAUAAGAUACUUAAACCCCCGGGGUGAUACCCGGCGUGAUGCUCAAGAACUGGCAGCUGUCAGGGUUGUUGAUGAAGAUUUGCAAGUCCAAGAAAGGAUGAUUCCUGGAUGCGGCCCUGCUAGGAACAGAUCCUUCAUCUGCCAAGUGGGAAAUUGCAACCCGCCCUGUAGGGGCACGUGUGGGGACUGAGGACGUAGUGGCUGAGCAGCAGAAGCAAACAGCAGUUCACUGUGGAGAACUCACAAGCACUCAGGAUGGCGGCCGCGGCCUGUGCCUCCACGGGAACCUGGGGCCCCUGUGCAGGAGAGCUUGUCAAGGCCUUCCAGUGCGCUGUAGCACAUCAGAGCCCAGCGCUGCUGCUGGAGGAGGGUUCCAGAGGGCCUAGGGCAGCCUCACAUUCUCCUUUUGUUUCUGACCUUUGCAGUAUUUCCCAAUAAAACUGUGACACACAGCUUAUGCUUUGGACUAGACAGAAAGCAGAAAAUGGUCAGGUUGCCCAGACCUUAACAAGGAACAGAUUGACAAGAAGCACAUCGCUCCCUCCCAUCUCUCCCAAUCCUCCAGGAGAAGCAUCCAGAACUACGGGUCCCCAGGCCGCCAAAAGGACGCGGACUCUCAGUGGCAGGCCGUGGAAGGGCAGAGACAUUGGAGUCUAUGGUCCUGGGUUUGGACUCCAGGCUGAUCGUACAGCUGGUUUGCCCAGGACAGUCCCAGAUCAGGCCUAGUGACCGUGGAUAAUGAUUGCUAGCACCCCCUUCCCCUUCCAAAGGUGUCCUUGUUUGCCUGAGAAAUUACAAGGUCUUCCUGUGGGUACGCGACUUUUGCUUUAACUUCUUUGAACCUCCAUUUUCACAUCUGAAAAAUGAGAAUCAUCUUUUAGACACUGCAGGAUUAUUGUUGAUAGUUAUACAUGAUUGAAAUAAUGGUGAUUAAAUAAGCUAUUGUCAACUUUAAAAUAAAAUAGCCAGUUAUUUCACCAGCAAAAUGAGUUUAUUUGGGAAUACCGAAAGAAUUGCAAUUCGGGACACGUGAACUAUGCUGAGCCACAGGCAGGUCCUGAGAACAAAGGCGGGGAGCUUGCUUUUAUAGUGAAAAAGGGGGAGUUGGGAGGGGCUGUUCUAAAUGAAAUUUCAUUGGAGGAGAGGAAGAGUUCAGGGUGAUGACAGGUCCUUGUUGGCUGAGCUGGGGUAUUUUUCAUUGGCUGGGCUUGUUGCUGGGCAAAAAGAAAAUCUUCCUUCCUCCACAGGAGUAGUAGAGCAGGAGGCAACUUCCUGCUGGAGAUGCAAGGUGCAUCUCUUCCUGUUGGGGAUAAUUGAGGAUGAGUGGUAGGGCGAGAGAGCUCCCACUAGAAGCCUUCCUGAUUCCAAUUUUAGUUAAAGUUUCUAUUAUUAAUAUUCACAGUAUAAUGGCUAGUACUUUAAUAUUAACAUUGCUCUGGCUUAUGCUCCCACCUUCUCCAAAGUAUUUAAAUAAAAUUCUGGCUGAUCCUGUGACCUCUGGUCCAGCAAUUCUCAACCCUUAGGGAACAUCAGAAUCCCCUGCAGGGCUUGUUAAAACAGAUGCUGGGCCCAACCCCAGAAUUUCUGGUUCAGUGGGUCUGUGGUGGGGGUGGGGGCUUGAGACUUGGCAUUUCUAACAAGCCCUGGGUGAGGCUGAUGCUGCUGGUCUGGGGACCACGUGCUCAGCACCGCUGAUCUGGUUUCUUCUUUUCUGUUCACUUCCCUGCUCCCGCCAGAAUGAUCUUUCCAGGACACUAAUCAGUCCAUGUUGCUUCCACUGCUUGAAACCUUUCCGUGGCUCUCUAGUGUCCUCAACAAAAAGCCCACCUCCUUAGCAGGGCACUCAAGACCACCCGUCUUCCCUGUUGCCUUCACCUCCAGUUGCAGUGCUCGCCUGCAGCCUGGGCAGCCUUCUCGAGGGGCAGGCUCCUUAGCGACAAGCUCAGGCACCAGGCAGUUCUGGGCCUGAGUUCUGGCUCGGCACAUGCUCUAUUGUGACUUUGGGCAAGUAACUGAGCUCCCUCGUGCACGUGGAAACGGAGCUUAGCAAGGUAGAAAAUUCUUUCCUUCGCGCUGAGCCAGGAAGGCUAAAGGAACUGCGUGGGGUGCGGCAGCUCCGCGCCUGCCCUGUGGGGAGGCCCCUCAGGGCCAUCUGAUGGUCUCCAGGGCCCCAGCGUGCCUGCCUGACCUGCUGCUCUGGUCCCCGCGUUCUGGCGACUCUUGCUGACCCGUCUAAGUACCAGCGGACGGCGCCCAGGCCAGACCUCUGUGAGUGCGUGGUCAGGGGGGCUUCCUGGAGGAGGUGGAACUUGGGCGAAAUGUCCCUUUCAAUAUGGUCACCAGCUUGCUGUUUUCUAUACCCUGUUUCAUUUUUUUCACUGAAUUUUCUUUCACUCAUUCUUCCAUUUCACAGCAACUAUGAAUCGAGCCGCUCUUCUGCGCCAGACGCUGUGCCGGGGCUACAGAGGAGAACAGGCUGGAAGCCCCGGAGGCUGGCUGGGAGGCAGCGGGCGGGAGGAAGGGGCAGGGGCUUUGGAGCAAGCGCGCCUGGAACCGAACUCGCGGUCGACCUCGCCCUGGCUGGUUCGCCGGCUGGGCGGCCGUGCGGGGCGUGGUCUCUGAGAGGGGGCUGCAGACCCCCAGGGCGCAGGCGUGCUGGGGAGGGGAUGCGCGUGUUCGCCGAGCGCUGGGCCGAGGGAAGGAGCUCGAGGUGGGCGCCCCGGGGGAGAGGGGGCUGCACACCUCUCCCCCAUAACCCUCCCUAAGGCCCCAGCAGCCCCUGAAAGGAAAGCCUUCCUCUGCCAGCCGCCGCCUGUUUCUCUUCUCCAGAGCCAGUUCCAGAUUCAUCCCGCGGGCUCUCAAAGGGGAUCACAGUCCCCGCGGGGAUGAACUGAGACCAGCAGUGGUGGCCCCGAGAUCGUGGCAUCCCCCUGUGCUCUGCGGCACAGGCGGGCACCGGGAGGGAGGAGGAGCCACACCCCCGAGGGCCUCCUGUCGUGGGGCGCCUGGCUCGGAGAGGGGCCGGUGUCGGAGUCUGCUCCCCCGGCGGUACCGCGCUGGGCGGCUGGCACAGCAGACGUUUUCCCCACGCCUGGAGGCUGGACGUCCAAGGUCCGGUGUCAGCAGGGUUGGUUCCUUCUGAGGCCUCUCUCCCUGGCCUGUAGACGGCUGGCUUCUCCGUGUCUUCACGUGGUCUUCCCUCUGUAUCCGCCUGUGUCCUAAUCUCCUCUUCCUAGAAGGACGUCAGCCAUGUUGGACUAGGGUCCACCCUGAUGACCUCACUUUAACUUCAUCACCUCUUUAAAGGCCCUGUCUCCAAAUACAGUCAAGGUUUGAGGUGCUGACGCUCAGGACUUCCACGUCCGAAUUUUGGGGGCACACAAUUUAGCCCAUAACAGGUGGCCAGCCUCCAAGGUGGCCCCCAAUGAUCCUGCCUCCUUCUACUCACACCCUUGUGACGUCACUUCCUACCCUAUCCUGGGGUUGGCCCAUGUGACCAAUAGUACAUGGCGGAAGUGAUGGUGUAUCACUUCCCAUGGGAGGGUAUAAAAGACCCCAUUUCUGUGCUGGUUACUCUUGCUCUCUCUUGGAUCAUUUGCUCUGGGGGAAGCUGGCUGCCAUGUCAUGAGCCUGAUGUGGCCGGGAACUGAGGCCCCCUACCAACAGCCCCGAGAGCUAGCGGUUGUGACAACAGGGCCUUCAGCUGCAGUUAAACCCUCAGAUAACUACAAACCCCUGAGACCCUGAGCCAGAACCGCCCAGCUUGGCUGCUCCUGGACUCCUGAUGCUCAGAAUCUAGGUCUGUGCUUGAGAAGGCCGUUUCUGAGUAAAUUAUGGAGAAAUCCUGAGGCUCGCUCUCCGUUAUCAGGCGUCCCCGAGCCGCCCAGACCUGUGGAGUGAGAGGCUGUUGGCUCUACAAACAUCUUUGAAAAGAUAGUUGGUGCCUCUGCUUGCAAGAUAUGCAGAAACAUGAGGACCGGCUCCCACAGCAGCGAGUGCCACAGCCCCGGGGGUGCUCAGUGAGCGCCUCGGCUCGGACUUCUGUACUCAGCGUGGAGUGGACAGGCAAGUUCUAGGCUUCCUACCAAAUCAGAGAUUCCACAAGAUUCUGGUUCUCUUCCUUGGUUUUGGGAGAGCCUGAAGUCAAGACAGAGAAAAUGAUGACGUGAAUGACAGGGCUCCUCCAUACAGCGGGGCUGUCCACGAAGCCCCUGUGACCCACAGGGCAAGGACUGUGUUCUCUUACCUGUGGAAUCCAGUGCUCAUCCUGGAGCUGGCACAUCAAAGGACUUCUAAGUAGGGCUGGCUGAAGACUCUGGGAGAACAUGGUCAUACUACACAUGCACACAGUUCUGACUUGCUCUGCGACCUUGGCCAGGCAUUUUGUCUCUCCACAUCUCAUUGGUAAAAUAAGGAAUUUAACGAGAUGUCCUCAAAUAUCUCUUCUAGUUGUAGAAGUCUAUGUGUCUGUAACAUAAUUAUAAUUAUCAAUUCCUACAAAGUGCCAGGAGAUAAGAAACAUGAUUUCUCCUCCUUCAAGGAUUUUACUACCAAGUUGGGAAAUAUAUUAUUGUUAAUUAUUCAUGUACAUAAAUGCCAAAAAACGACACUGGGCUAUAUGUGAUUAAAUCUCCAAAGGAGAGACAGGAUGUGUAGUCGGAGUGAUUCGUUUAUACGCUGAGCAUUUACAGAGCACAGACGAUCUAUGAGCUAGGUUCUGUUCUAGGGGUUAUGUUGACACAAGGUCAAGACAAUAAGCUAUAGGGGCAACAGCCAGAACUCAAAACCAUCAAAGGAUCUUGGGAAAAUGAUUUAAUCCCCUGAGUCAAGAAAUUUUUCUCUAUCCUUCUAGGUUCUUCUGGCUAGUCUAAGAAUUAAACUGAUGUGAGACAGAUUAAGAGGAGAAAGUCAAGCACAGUUUAAUAACAUGUAUAUAUGUGGGAAACCUAGGAAAACUGAGUAAUUUGCCAAAAUGGCCAAAGCUACCACCUCAAAUAUCAUCUUCAGCUAAAGACAAAAGAGGAUGUUAGGGUAGUGGUUUGGGAUUUCAAAGGGGAGGAAGGCAAUUCACAUGGAGAUGGAAAAGCAAAUGUUUGGUAAAGGAAUGUUUGCCAUGGCUUGCAAAGACUAAGAGACUGGAGAGGACUUUGAUUCACUGGGCCUUGCUCGGUUCCUCCCUGUCUACCACACCUAGUUCAUCUUAUACUCAGUUCUCUAUGGUGACAGCUCCUUCCUGGAACAGGCCUUCUACCUUAGAAUCUUUUAGGCAGUUAGGAGAAGGUCAAAAUUUCUUCCUGAGUCUUUUGUUCUUAAAAAUAAUCAAGCCGAAGAGACAUUUUGGUGUGGCAAAUUCUGCUCCCCUACAAGUCUCACUUUCCAUAUAUGUAAAAUUGAGAUUAAAUAAAGAAUUAUGGAGAGGAUUUGGUGAUUUAGUGAGUUUGAAAAAUGCUGGGUAAAUCGAAGGUGAGAUACCACUAUUAGUUGCCAUCAUUACUCACAAAUUUCGUUUGCCUAAUGAUUUUCCAUUCUCAGCAUUCGGGCUGCAGAGAGGGGCGUGCUGUUGUCCUUGGUCUGGAUCGUCGAACACCUUUCUGACCUGGUCUCUCUGCAUCCAGCCUUGGUUCCUCCAAUGCACACAGUAGUCAGAGUGAGCUCCCCAAAUCUCAUUGACCGAGUCAUUUCCCUGCUACGAUCCCAGAGGACACAUAAUUAGAAAAUGGGGGAGGGGCCAAGGGGCUUCCAUUUGAUCUGUAGUGUUUUAUAUUUUCAGCUAGGUAGUGGGUUCAUAAAUAUUAUUUAUACCAGUUAUACUUUUUGUCUGCCUAAAAUGUUUCUUAAUUAAAAGGCCAUUCGGGGUGGGGUGGGGGAGUACCAAGGACAUUGUGCUCAUUGACUGUCUCUUGACACCCUGCAAUCUCUGUGGAGGGGGACAGCAUCCUCCAGGGUGUCAGGAACAGGAGGGCUCGGAGUCAAUUCUCUGGGUCACUUGAGACUUCCAGAAGGUACUAUUUUUAAAAAGAAAUCAAACCUGUGUUCAUGAAUUGAGGUCUUUAUUUUCCAUACAGUGUUUGACAGUUUUCCCAGAGAGAAAGAAAACAAGAGAAAAUGUGGGAAAAUUCCCCAAAUGCAUGCAGUCACAGCAAGGGAGAAAACUGUUCUGGUUGCCCAGCUUCUGACUGAAAUGCAGAGGAAGGUCCCACUGUCCCCCAGGCCCCAGGCCUCAUUCUAAUUUAUUGAGGGAAGGACCCAGGAGGUAAAUCUCGGUGUCAUUCUCUAAGCCACCUGAAAUGAGCCCAUUAAACUGCCUCCCGUGAAUGGAGGCGUUUUUCCCAGGGUGGCAUGCCCCCACCCUCAUCCCACACCAGCCUCACCGAGGGCACCGCCACUCUGGGAGCCCAUGCGGCAUGUCCGACAAUGGGGCAUUCAGGAAGGCCUUUCCGGAUGGGGUAGAGGCCUGUUUUAUGCCCUGUUAAUUACUGCAACAAUUUAUAAAAUUCGUGACAAACAUAAAGCCCUCACAGAGAUUGUAUUUCAAAUGGUAUUUACCUGCAACAGAAUCCCCUUUGUUUUUAAUUCCUGGAUUUAUGAGCUGUUGCACAACAAAAUGGAACCACCCCUUGUCCCCAAUUGGGGGCACUGGCUGAGAGACCUCACGUAUGCUGUGGAGACAGAAACCUACUCAGACUCAGACUGAGACACCACAGUCGCAGACCCGCCUCCAGUCCAUGGUGUGUCUCAGUUUUGCAGCCUGUGAACUUGGGGAGUGGAGGUUGGACCAGGGCAGGUAAGUUUUCUCCCAAAGAAUCUUGGUGUCUCUGAGCUGAAAGGAACCUCGGGCAUGAGCUAGUCCAACUGUGUAUCCAUCACAGGAAUCCAUCUUCUCUAUCUCUGUUUGCAUCCUCCAGUGACAGGGAGCUCCUUACCUGACAAAGCAGGCCAGAUUAUUGCCCUUGGUCUCUAGUCUUGUCCCUUUUUUCUCCUCGCCAAUCUUCCCCUUGGCCACAAGAGCCAUUUUCCUAAAACUCACAUCUGAUCUUGUGCUCCUGCUUAAAAUCACUCAGUGGCUUCCGUUUGCUUUUGAGAUAAGUCCAAAGUCCUUAACAAGGCCUGCGAGUUCCUGCAUGGGGUGGUCCCUGCCCUCCUGUCCACCUUCAUCUGCAGUGGCCCCCAUCCAUUCUUCUCCCAGUAAUGCCAACCUACUUUCAGUUAUCCCCUUGGAUUAGAUUCCACAGUGAGACUCAUGUAACAGAAGGGCCACGGGCUUGACUUUAGGGGCAGCAAGUAAGAGAGUGUUUGUGGAGCUGUUUGAUGGUGGCUCCUCAGCUUCCAGGGUUGGGGAUGAGGAGAUGGGAGCCCUACCGAGGGAAGAGAGGAAGCUGGCAGCUCCAGAGAAGAGAGAGAAGCAGGAGCCCAGCAAGAAAGGACGGACUCUGUGGACAGUCGGGAUCCUGAGAGCGGAGAAAGGCUAUGUAGUUCCCUGCGGUGAAUCCGAGCUGUGGAAGCUGCAGCAUCAGGAGCUGGUCGGGUCCCCGCCGUGGGGGCAGCGGAGAAGGAAGCUGAGCUCAGCCCGCUUCUUCUCUCCUCUGCACAGCAGGUCUGGCUUUCAGUGAGUUUCCAGCUGCAGGGAAAGCUGUACAUCUAUGCAAAGGGGCUAACUUUAUGAGUCUUGGACGCGGAGUUGCUUUCAUCUUCUCCUCAGUGUCAGAAUACGUGUCCUCUGUAAGAUACGCGGGAGACGCUCAGAUCUGCACCCUCAGAAGCAGGGGAGCAUUUAUAGAGCAGUUAAAACCUGGAGCGACUGUGUCCUCUGACUUCCAAAGGGCCUAUUUUAAUGCUCGUGUGCUGAUUUCUCUUAAGGGAAGAGCUGUUUCAUGCAGAGACCUAAAGAAAAGAGCAGGAACUUCAGUCCAUCAGAUUUCAGCCGUUCCACUUACUGGUUGUAUGACCACAAGCAAAGUACUUCCUCUCUCUGGGUCUUGGCUGUAGUAUCUGAAAAAGUGAGGCCGUUGCUUGGAAGAGCUCUUUGAGAUGUUCGAGUCCUCAGGAAGCAGAGACUUGACUCUACAAGAUGGAGUUAGCGCUAAUACCUCCCUCUCAGAGUCGCUCUGCAUAGGAAUUAAAAUAUCUAUGUUGUUAUAAAUGCUGAAAGGAUGAGGCUUCUGCAUUUUCCAUCAGACCACAUUGUAAGGAGGAGCCGGGAAGAAAAGAUGCAAUCUGUUUAAGUCGAGGUGCGGGAAAGGGGGAGUUAGGGUGUUUUUGGCUGUAAGUAACAGAAGACCUAACUCAAAUGGCUUAAAUGAUAAGAAAAUUUGUCAUUUCAUAUUUUGGGAUGUCGGAACUAUGGGGGUCCUUAGGUUGGUAAGUUCAGUUGCUCAAUGACACUAUCGAAGGCCCCGGAGUGAGUCCCAACAGCCCCAGUAGCGAACUCUCGUGUUUCUUACCUUCUCUCCUAAGCACACAAACACCCGCUACCUGAGCAGAAAGCAUAUGAGAGCAAGGAAAGAGGCGGACUGGCUCCCGGGGGGGAACUAAUACAUUCCCCACAACCGGACACCCAGCAAGUGGUAGGGUUGAUUCAAGGUCAAUGACUACUUCCGAGUAGUUCAGUCUUUGAAUGCACACUGGCUGGUGUGGAGGGAGGCAACAAGAUGCCCAGGGAGAAACACAGUGUCUGUAGAACCAUCUGCCUUGGGUUCAGAUUUGGCUCCACCCUGACCAAACGUGAGCGCUUAGGCCCAUAUUUGAUGGUAGUGUUCAGUCAGUCCAGAGAAUGCAAAUCAAGACCAUAAUGAGAUACCACUAAAUACCCACCCACGAAAAUGGCUAAAAUGAAAGAGACCUUAAUUUUAGGAAUUGGAAACACUGAAACUUUCAUACAUUGCUGGUGGGAGUGUAAAUUGAUAUGUACCUGGCGACUGAUCUAGCCAUUCUGUUCCUGGUUAUAUGUCUAACAGAAAUAACUGGUUAUGUCCAUCAAAAGACAUCUAUAAGAGUGUUCAUAGCAGCCUAAUUCGUAAUAGUGCAAACUGGCAUGCACUCAAGCGUCCACCCACAGGAGAAUGGAGAAAUACAUUGAAGUGUGGUGGACGUGUGUCAUGUGCUGCUCAGAUCCUGCUUCAAGAUGGGACUCGUUGCCCCAGCUGUUGGGAAUGCUGUGGCAGAGAACUCUUCCAGAAUUGCCUGGGCUGCAAGCCUUGCCCAAGGCUGCUCUUCCUAGGGUAGCCCACAGCUACACAGCACACCUAAGACAGGCUAUUUUAGCUUCUGAGCUCUCUGUGGGAUUGCCUGAGGUGGUCCUUGGGUCUGCACUGAGCUCUGGACUUCUCCCUGUCCCCAAUCCUGCUGCCUGUCCCUACCUUCCGCAGCUGUCUUCCCAAGGACACUUGCUAGUAACUGUGCUGCAUGCUAAUCUCUGUCUCAAGAGUCGGCUUCCCAGAGAACAAAGCUGCAGUGUGUGUGUAUUCAUACAAGAGAAUAUGGCGCAGCCAUAAAAAGAACAAACGAUGACACAGGCAACAUGGAUGAAUAUCGAGUGAGGAAAGCCAGGUAUGAAAAGUACACGCUAUAGAUCCCACUUUAGCGAAGGUGAAAAACAGGCAAAACCAAUUCGUGGUGAAAGAGGUCAGAAUAACAGUUACCCCUGGCAUUAGGGAGCUUUGGGAGGUGCUGGAAAUAGUCUAUAUGUUGACUCAGAGGGUAGUUACACACACACGCACACACAUUUAUACAUACGUGUGUUUGUUUAUAUUUAACAUUUAUUGAGCUGUACACUUUGAUUUGUGUACUUUACUGUAUUAAGCUAUACCUCAAUAAAAAUAAUAAAAUGAAAAAUAAUGUAAUAAAAACAUUGGACUGUGUUAUAAUUGCCUAUGUCCCCUGACAGCCUGUAGCUCCCUGAGGACAGACUGCCUGGCUCGCGGCGGGUGUCCAGUAAACGUUUGUUGAGUGAAGUAAUGAGUGUUUCCCUGGUCUACCACUGAUUUUUUGGGUGGCCUUCACUAAGUCUACUGCGGGAACUUCAUUUUCCAACCAUAAAUAAGACAAAUAGCAAACUCUAAUUCACAUGUUAUACAAAUCAAAUGAGAUAAUUGGUGGAAACACACAUGUAAAUUGUGAACUCUGAGUAAGAGUUAGUACAUGGGUUGUGAAGUUGAACCGACAGAGUUAAAAAAUAAGCUCCACCAGCUAUCAACUGUGUGACCUGGGGAAAGUUACUUAACACCUCUGUGCUUCAGUUUUUGUACCUAUAAAAUGGGGUAAAAAAAAGUACCUACCUUGUCAGGUGACUGUGAUGAUUGAGAUAAUUGGAGGCACUUAGGAUAGUGGCUGACACUCAGUAAAUUGUCAGUAAAUGCCAGUUGGUGUUACCAUGUAAGGAAUUUUCCCUGGAGAAAAUUUUCCUCCCCUUCCCUUUCCCCAACUCGGCUUUCUUCCCCUUUUCCCUUCUCUGGAGCCCACUAGGAUCCUGGGAUCCAGGCAUUCAGGCCUUAAAGAAAUGAGUUUCCCCAAAGGGCAGCUGGCCUCCUGCAAAGGUGAUUACCCCACGAGGCAGCCCCACACUCUCAAAUUCAGGAGUCUGAGCAUCAUUCAGCCAGCCCCACCCUCCCGAAUUCAGGAGUCUGAGCAUCAUUUAGGCAGCCCCACUCUCCCGAAUUCAGGAGUCUGAGCAUCAUUCAGGCAGCCCCACUUUCUCGAAUUCAGGAAGUCUGAGCCUCAUUCAGGCAGCCCCACACUCCUGAGUUCACGAAGUCUGAGCAUCAUUUUUUCCACCAGAGGAGGAAAAGAGGUGUUAAUUGGCUGUUUGUGAAAUAUCUGGGCU